rnacentral:lncRNA from 1 species
AUUUAAAUGCAAAAUAGUGGAAUAAAUACAACAAUCUGAUCUGAUUGAAACACAAGUGUAACUUCUGGGAGUCACACAAUCAUAUUGCUUUAAAUAAGAAAAAAAAAUAACUGAAUCAAACAUAGAAAUCAAAAUCAUCAUGGCUAAAACAUACACUUUAAAAACUCUCCCAAACUUCACAUUCAGUAAGUGGUCUUGAUUGAACCUUGAAAAAACUGUCCUCCAGCAUGGUUUAAGAUGAGCUUUUACCCUACAAGUCCACAUGGUUCUUUUGACCAAUUUUGCUUCGGAAUCUUGAGACAGUUGUCCUUUUGUACGGCCAGAAGUCACUGAAAAAGAAAACUAAAAUUUGCACUGUACUCCUUUAAUACAUCUCUAUCUCUUAGGUUGUUUGGCUUUUGACUCUGAAGCCCAGGUUCUUUAAUGUGAUACAGUGAAAACAAUGUUUAUAUAUUAGCUAUAUUACAUAUAUAUUGUAGUAUAUAUAUGUAGUUGAAUAGUAGUUAACUUAAAACCAGCACAAUUCUUCUGGAAAAUAAACAUUAUUAUUAUUAUUAUUAUUAUUCUUUUGUUAAACACUUAUAAUAUAUAUAUAUAUAUAAAUAAUCUUAUAGAAUCAGCACCUUUUUUUCCCAGGAGUUGUACUUUUUUUUUAAAUCUGUUAUUUUAAAAGGGAUGUGCCAAUUUCUGAACUCCUAUCACAGCUAUAAAUUUCAAGUUAUUGACCAUCUGAAUGAAUUGCUAAUGAUGAUUUAUCUAGAAUCACACUAAGUCACUUCUCUACUGAGAAACCACAAUCUACAAUAUAGUCCCAUAUAGCUAAUGAUAGAUACACAGUAUUUCUAGCACAAGGCUGAUGAACAUCAGCCCCACGGUAUUUUGUUUAAAGCACACGAAGUAGCAAUAGUUUUGGAAACUUGUCCGCACCAAAAAGUUUUGCAACAACACAGAGUGAGUUAAUAACAACAUCUGAGAGAUGAUUGAGUAAAAGCCAUAUUUACAGCAUUUAAAAAUUAGACUUAUCUAUAUUCUUGAAAUAUUCAAAGUUUUAUUUCUAAGCUAUACAUUGGUAUUCUAUAAUAAACUGUUACAGAAAUUAUUCCUUGUUUUGAAAAUAUUAUGAUUUCGAUGUGUAUCUGUUCAUAAUGAAUACUUGUUUGGAGUUUCAAUCUCUUAAUUAUUAUUAGGAAGAACCUUAUUACCAGUAAGGAAUAGAAUAUACUACUGUAAUCUCCUGAGGAAUUGUACAUCCAAUAUUGUCUCUAAUUCUACCCUGUGUCUAAAAGCACACACCACAAGAAUCCAAACACCACAAGAAGAACAAGACAACAGUCUUUGAAUGCAACAUAAAAAUUCAGAAAAGCACAGCAAACAUGAAACAUUGAAAAGCUGAACUACAUUUCUUUUGUUUGUUAGGAUUACAAUUUUAAUUACAUCUGUGUACAUAGAAUAAGAAUGUUCA